rnacentral:lncRNA from 1 species
CUGUAAUCUUGUAGUACAGUUUGAAGUUAGGUAGUGUGAUGCCUCUGGUCUUGUUCUUUUUGCCUAGGAUUGGUUUGGCUAUUCAGACUGUUUUUUGUUUCUAGAGAUCUUUCACCUCCCUGGUUAGUUGUAUUCCUAAGUAUUUUUUUUUUGGUAGCUAUUGCAAAAGGGAUUAUGUUCUUGAUUUGGACGUUGUUGGUGUAUAGAAAUGCUACUGAUUUUUGUACACUGAUUUUGAAUCCUGAAACUUUGCUGAAGUUGUUUAUCAGAACUAGGAACUUUCGGGCAG